rnacentral:tRNA from 1 species
GCCUGGCUGGCUCCGUCGGUAGAGCACGUGACUCUUAAUCUCAGCGUCAUGAGUUCAAGCCCCAUGUUGGGCG